rnacentral:rRNA from 1 species
AUGAAGCCCGGCGACUAUGUCACACAGAUGAUUGUCCAGGUGAUUGUGACGCUGGAGGUCGACGAGGUGGAGGACCUUGACGCCACCGUUAGGAGGUUGCCGAGGUGGAGGACCUCGAUGCCUCCGUCUGGAGGUUGCCGAGGGAAGUGUUCCAUGCCUUUCGUUAACGGAAAUUGGAAUCUAAUAUUCCCUUCCUUCAUAUCAAUAAUUGCACCAAUCGUUCUAAGGAAAGGUCUACCAAGAAUAAUAGGACAUGAAGGAUUGCAAUCCAUAUCAAGAACAAUGAAAUCUACUGGCACAUAA